UUGUGGGAAAAACUUCAGACAGUCCAGUCACCUGAACACACAUGUCAGGAUCCACACGGGAGAGAGACCUCACAUCUGUCAGAACUGUGGGAAGACGUUUAUUGACUCCAGCGCAAGAAACAGACACUUCAAAAAAAAUUUUACCUGAACUCCUUAAAACACUUUCAAUGGUACAUUUUCCACAGCAGAACUAACUGAGUUUCUCGAAUCAUCUGAACUGAGGUAUGGCUCACAUUUUGACCAUGCAAUGUUUUAUUUAAUGAACAAAUUUUUAAUCUUUUUUUUCUGCUUGAAAAAAAGCUUUUUAUCUUGUUUCUUCUACUUAAUAUUAAAUUCGUAUUAGCUAGCAUAUUUAUGAGAAAAUGUACUAAUUUAUUUAUUACUCUUUUUUUAAGCAAACAAAAUAUUGCAUUUCAUUUUCAUACAUUUCCUUGGUCUUAUUUUUUAAGCUGGUAGUAUAGAAUGUAUAAACAUUACUGCAGUUUAUAAUAAUAAUUAUUAUUUUUUUAAUGGUUAAAUUUUGUUUGUGAAGUUUUAUGAAUAAAAGAUCAUGUUUUUUACAA